AUGAGUUCUCCCUGACUCCUUGAGAGUCCUGAAGGAACGUUGAAGACGACGACGUUGAUAGGCCGGGUGUGUAAGCGCAGCGAUGCGUUGAGCUAACCGGUACUAAUGAACCGUGAGGCUUAACCUUACAACGCCGAAGCUGUU
rnacentral:rRNA from 1 species